GCUUCCAUGGUGUACUUUAGCAUAAAAGAUUGUGGCUCUUUUGGAGGGCGUAAGUCCUGGGGGCUC
rnacentral:tRNA from 1 species